rnacentral:rRNA from 1 species
AUGGCCAGUCGGUACCAGCAGUUGCGUGAACUUGGCCUUCUCCUCCUAAAGAUGAGCGGCCAGGUGGAAGACAGAAUCGGUGAAGGGCCUGUGGGGAUGAGGACCCAUAGACAUACGGUGGAUUGUCCAUACGACACAAGCAUGACUCUAGCAUCGGCCUUGAUAGCUCAUGUCGUUAGCUUUCUAUCAAGCUUCAGUUCGUCGAAAUCAGAGUUCGUUUGCAAAAGUAACGGCUGUUUUGGUCCUACCCGUUUACCUGGCCAGGCGAUUGUACAUUGUACUUUGGCAGUUCUCCAGUUCCCUCAUUGA